CAUUAUGGGGUAUUGUGUGUAGAUUGAUGAGGAGAAUUGAAUCCAUUUUAGAAUAAGGUUGUAACGUAACAAAAUGUGGAAAAAGUUGAGGGGUCUGAAUGCUUUCUGAAUGCACUGUAAUUGAACAGAUCUGUGUCUGAGAUAUCUAACAGACUACUAUCUAACAGACUACUAUCUAACAGACUACUAUCUAACAGACUACUAUCUAACAGACUUUCUAAACAGACUGCUAUCUAACAGACUGCUAUCUAACAGACUACUAUCUAACAGACU
rnacentral:lncRNA from 1 species